AACCUCCGCAAUGUGAGAAAUCGCGACGGGGGGAUCCCAAGUGCCAUUCUUAACGGGAUGGCUUUUCAUUAGUGUAAAGAGCUUUUGGAAUAAGAGCUGGGCAAGACCGGUGCCAGCCGCCGCGGUAACACCGGCAGCUCUAGUGGUAGCAGUUUUUAUUGGGCCUAAAGCGUCCGUAGCCGGUUUAAUAAGUCUCUGGUGAAAUCCUGUAGCUUAACUGUGGGAAUUGCUGGAGAUACUAUUAGACUUGAGACCGGGAGAGGUUAGAGGUACUCUCAGGGUAGAGGUGAAAUUCUGUAAUCCUGGGAGGACCGCCUGUUGCGAAGGCGUCUAACUGGAACGGUUCUGACGGUGAGGGACGAAAGUUAGGGGCGCGAAACCGGAUUAGAUACCCGGGUAGUCCUAACCGUAAACGAUGCGGACUUGGUGUUGGGUGGCUUUGAGCUGCUCCAGUGCCGAAGGGAAGCUGUUAAGUCCGCCGCCUGGGAAGUACGGUCGCAAGACUGAAACUUAAAGGAAUU
rnacentral:rRNA from 1 species